rnacentral:rRNA from 1 species
GAGCUCGUAGGUGGUUUGUCGCGUUGUUCGUGAAAUCUCACGGCUUAACUGUGAGCGUGCGGGCGAUACGGGCAGACUUGAGUACUGCAGGGGAGACUGGAAUUCCUGGUGUAGCGGUGGAAUGCGCAGAUAUCAGGAGGAACACCGGUGGCGAAGGCGGGUCUCUGGGCAGUAACUGACGCUGAGGAGCGAAAGCGUGGGGAGCGAACAGGAUUAGAUACCCUGGUAGUCCACGCCGUAAACGGUGGGUACUAGGUGUGGGUUUCCUUCCUUGGGAUCCGUGCCGUAGCUAACGCAUUAAGUACCCCGCCUGGGGAGUACGGCCGCAAGGCUAAAACUCAAAGAAAUUGACGGGGGCCCGCACAAGCGGCGGAGCAUGUGGAUUAAUUCGAUGCAACGCGAAGAACCUUACCUGGGUUUGACAUGCACAGGACGCCGGCAGAGAUGUCGGUUCCCUUGUGGCCUGUGUGCAGGUGGUGCAUGGCUGUCGUCAGCUCGUGUCGUGAGAUGUUGGGUUAAGUCCCGCAACGAGCGCAACCCUUGUCUCAUGUUGCCAGCGGGUAAUGCCGGGGACUCGUGAGAGACUGCCGGGGUCAACUCGGAGGAAGGUGGGGAUGACGUCAAGUCAUCAUGCCCCUUAUGUCCAGGGCUUCACACAUGCUACAAUGGCCGGUACAAAGGGCUGCGAUGCCGCGAGGUUAAGCGAAUCCUUUUAAAGCCGGUCUCAGUUCGGAUCGGGGUCUGCAACUCGACCCCGUGAAGUCGGAGUCGCUAGUAAUCGCAGAUCAGCAACGCUGCG